rnacentral:rRNA from 1 species
AAACUCAAAGGAAUUGACGGGGGCCCGACAAGCGGUGGAGCAUGUGGUUUAAUUCGAAGCAACGCGAAGAACCUUACCAGGUCUUGACAUCCUUUGACCACUCUAGAGAUAGAGCUUUCCCUUCGGGGACAAAGUGACAGGUGGUGCAUGGUUGUCGUCAGCUCGUGUCGUGAGAUGUUGGGUUAAGUCCCGCAACGAGCGCAACCCUUAUUGUUAGUUGCCAUCAUUUAGUUGGGCACUCUAGCGAGACUGCCGGUGACAAACCGGAGGAAGGUGGGGAUGACGUCAAAUCAUCAUGCCCCUUAUGACCUGGGCUACACACGUGCUACAAUGGGAAGUACAACGAGUCGCUAGACCCGCGAGGUCAUGCAAAUCUCUUAAAGCUUCUCUCAGUUCGGAUUGCAGGGCUGCAACUCGCCUGCAUGAAGCCGGAAUCGACUAGUAAUCGCGGAUCAGCACGCCGCGGUGAAUACGUUCCCGGGCCUUGUACACACCGCCCGU